rnacentral:rRNA from 1 species
UACGGAGGGUGCAAGCGUUAUCCGGAUUUACUGGGUUUAAAGGGUGCGUAGGCGGCGCGGUAAGUCGGUUGUGAAAUCUCGGAGCUUAACUCCGAAACUGCAUUCGAUACUGCCGUGCUUGAGGACUGGAGAGGAGACUGGAAUUUACGGUGUAGCGGUGAAAUGCGUAGAUAUCGUAAGGAAGACCAGUGGCGAAGGCGGGUCUCUGGACAGUUCCUGACGCUGAGGCACGAAGGUCAGGGGAGCAAACGGG